ensembl:lncRNA
UCUAGAGUCAGUUACAUGACUAAAAUGUGGUCAUCUUAAGGCUAAACUAUCUAAUAUUUCUAGCUACAACCCGUUGAAGUCAACAUCUAAAUCAGAGAGCUACGAACAUCUCACUUUCCGACAGAUACGUACACCCAAAUGCCUUCUUCAACUGCCACCACGACAGAGAUGGAGUUAAUAACACAGUCAGGGUUAUUAAUUGGUUGUGUGAAGGCCUGGGCCAUUCAGGGCGGUGAAGCUUAGAAGAGAAACACUGCUGCACAGUUCCCGUUUCUUCCAAUCCCCCAUGAUUCGUGGCCGCUGGAUGGCGCUGGUGCCUCGCGAUGUUAAUCAAAGCAACGUGUUAAACAGGCUGCUCGGUCCAACAUUCAAAAUCCAGCCUCUUGGGUGGAGGCCGAGGAAGGAGACAAUCUCUUCCACGGCCAAGCUGCCGAUCCUCGCCGUGAAUGCGUUGCACGUGGAAGGCCGUAUUGAGUCGGACUCUGCGGGGG